GUCAAAGGGGGGGGCACGUGACCGGCUCGUGACCCCAUCCCCCAUCACCUCCGUCGACAUCUCGCCCCUCAGGGAGGGAAGGUUCGCGGUGGGGACAUCCGAGGGGGAGGUCUG
rnacentral:SRP_RNA from 1 species